CACGAGCGCACCCCUGUCGUUAGUUGAAAUGAUCUAACGAAACUGCCAUUUCAAAAUGGAGGAAGGCGGGGAUGACGUCAAGUCAGCACGGCCCUUACGCCUUGGGCGACACACACGCUACAAUGGUCAGGACAAAGAGUUGCCAACCCGCGAGGGGGAGCUAAUCUCGUCAAACCUGGCCUCAGUUCAGAUCGGAGGCUGAAACUCGCCUCCGUGAAGGUGGAGUUGCUAGUAACCGUAGGUCAGCACACUACGGUGAAUACGUUCCCGGGUCUUGCACACACCGCCCGU
rnacentral:rRNA from 1 species